rnacentral:rRNA from 1 species
GAUGAACGCUAGCGGCAGGCUUAAUACAUGCAAGUCGUGGGGCAGCAUGAAUGUAGCAAUACAUUUGAUGGCGACCGGCAAACGGGUGCGGAACACGUACACAACCUUCCUAUAAGUGGGGAAUAGCCCAGAGAAAUUUGGAUUAAUACCCCGUAACAUAACGAUGUGGCAUCACAUUGUUAUUAUAGCUUCGUCGCUUCUUGAUGGGUGUGCGGCUGAUUAGAUAGUCGGGGGGGUAACGGCCCACCAAGUCUACGAUCAGUAGCUGAUGUAGAUGCGUGACGAGCCAACCGGGCACUGAGACCCGGGCCCGAAUCCUACGGGAGGCAGCCGUAAGGAAUAUUGGUGAAUGGACGAAAGUCUGAACCAGCCAUGCCGCGUGAAGGAUUAAGGUCCUCUGGAUUGUAAACUUCUUUUAUCUGGGACGAAAAAAGGCUUUUCUGAGUCACUUGACGGUACCAGAUGAAUAAGCACCGGCUAACUCCGUGCCAGCCGCCGCAGUAACAC